rnacentral:rRNA from 1 species
GACGAACGCUGGCGGCGUGCUUAACACAUGCCAGUCGAACGGAAAGGCCCUGCUUUUGUGGGGUGCUCGAGUGGCGAACGGGUGAAUAACACGUGAGUAACCUGCCCUUGACUUUGGGAUAACUUCAGGAAACUGGGGCUAAUACCGGAUAGGAGCUCCUGCUGCAUGGUGGGGGUUGGAAAGUUUCGGCGGUUGGGGAUGGACUCGCGGCUUAUCAGCUUGUUGGUGGGGUAGUGGCUUACCAAGGCUUUGACGGGUAGCCGGCCUGAGAGGGUGACCGGCCACAUUGGGACUGAGAUACGGCCCAGACUCCUACGGGAGGCAGCAGUGGGGAAUAUUGCACAAUGGGCGGAAGCCUGAUGCAGCAACGCCGCGUGCGGGAUGACGGCCUUCGGGUUGUAAACCGCUUUCGCCUGUGACGAAGCGUGAGUGACGGUAAUGGGUAAAGAAGCACCGGCUAACUACGUG